AAGAACAAGCAGGCCCUCCUUCCAAAAGGCAUGGACCGAGAUUGGAAAAGUCUCAAACCAUCCAGAAAAUGAAUCUAUACAUACGUUUGCCAUCACACGUAAAGCUACUCCCGUCUGUGUACCAGAUAAGCACAGACUUCACCUUUGUCAAGGAAACUUCUCAUUGCAACAGACAGAUCACUGCAGAAAACCACAACCAAUUA